rnacentral:lncRNA from 1 species
GUGAAUUUAGAGGUCGAAAGACGACCUUCCUCUUCACCAUCUUUCUGACCUCCGAUUGGAGUUCCUCUGGCCGCUUCACCGCAGGCUCUGGCUUCCUUUUCUCCAGGUACCUUUCUAUGGAGAGAUUAUGGACGUUUGCUGGUGAUGGUGGAUGGCGUGUGAGGCUCAGCUUAAGCACUUUUGGACUAACUCUGAAAACAAGAACCUGUACUGUCUGCGCAGGAAGUCUCUGUGAUGACCAGGUCUCACCGUCCAGAUCUGCAGGCAGCUCAGCCUUCAGAACCGUGACAGAGCCAAGUGAUUGUUGGCUCUAUAAACAUUUGUGAACCACGUGGGAUGAAUUGGAGGGAUACAGGCAUGGAUGACCUGUAAUGCUUGCCCAUAGGCUGUGCAGGGGCUGGCUGUGGUCAGGACUCAGCAGGUGAAGGUGCCUGCUGCCCAGCCUGAUGAUCCGAGUCCACUUUCUGGAAUCUCCAUGGUUGACUGCCUCCAAGAGUUCCUUCUACAGCUGGAAUGCAAGAUCCUGAGUGGAGUCCAGGUGGUGGGUCUGGGAGCCUCCAGAGAGUCAUGGCCAGUCAGGAUGGCUGCCGUCCCCGUGCUUCUGGAGAGGGGCUUAGCCAAGAGGAAGCCACCCCAAAGGCUGAUCUCCUGACAGUUGAGCCGGUCCCCUGACAUGUGGCAUGCUGCAGAGCCUCGGAGGAAAGAGACAGCAACACUGACGAAUGAGGUCAGCGGGACCUGCUGAGUACCCAGUGGAUGUGGAGAACAGUGGAGGCAGAGUGCCCGCUCAGAUUACAUGAUUAACUCUCUCGGUCACCAGUGCCUAGCAUCCAGGCUGGGCCCCAAGGAUGCAGAGGCCAGUAGGACCCAGAGACCUCCUGGCCGGAGAGAAUGGCAGGCCCGUAGCUGGGGGUUGGAUGCCAUCCGAUAGGUGUUUGGGGAAUAUUCUGGAGGGCAAAGGGCACUGAUGCCAGUGGAUAAAAGGGCUCUUGGUUACAAGAACCAGCACUGGGUUAGAUGAAUGCUACCUGUCCCAGUUGCGGUUCCUAUUGCUAGGGUGAAGCACCGUGACCAAAAGCAAGUUGGGGAGGGAACCGUUUGUUGGCCUUACACUUCCUCAUCCAUAAUCCAUCAUUGAGGGAAGUCAGGACAGAAACUCAAGCAGGGCAGGAUCCUGGAGACAGAGGCUGAUGCAGAGGCCAUGGAGGGGUGCUGUUUACUGGGUUGCUUCCCAUGGCUUGCUCAGUCUGCUUUCUUAUAGGAUCCAGGACCACCAGAUCAAAUAUGCCACCACCCAAUGGGCUGGGCCCUCACCCACCAAUCAAUCACUAAGGAAAUGCUCUAUACAUUUGCUUACAG